rnacentral:tRNA from 1 species
GGGGAUUUAGCUCAGCGGUAGAGCGCUUGCCUAGCGAGCACAAGGCCCUGGGUUCGGUCCCCAGUUCCG